GGGAGAUAUACAAUGAUAUGGACAUGUUCGAAAGAUGUUUAUCAAAGAAAGAACUGAAGAUGAUAGCAAAGAACCUUAAGAGGAACGUAAUUCCGUACUUGAGGGCAGGAGCUUCUUCUCAUGCCAUCUCUUCCUCAGAGGACAUGAAGAUAUAUCUGAAGUCUCUCGAUUAUGGGCCCGUCAUGUCAUCUAAUAUGGUACAAUCACUAUUUGACGCUUAUCUUCCUGUUGUAAAUGGAAUUCGGAUUGAAGAUGCUAACAC